rnacentral:rRNA from 1 species
UACAGAGGGUGCAAGCGUUGUUCGGAAUUAUUGGGCGUAAAGGGCGCGUAGGCGGUGCCACAAGUCACCUGUGAAAUCUCCGGGCUUAACUCGGAGCCUGCAGGCGAAACUGUGGUGCUGGAGUGUGGGAGAGGUGCGUGGAAUUCCCGGUGUAGCGGUGAAAUGCGUAGAGAUCGGGAGGAACACCAGCGGCGAAGGCGGCAUCCUGGCCCUGUACUGACGCUGAGGCGCGAUAGCUAGGGUAGCAAACGGG